rnacentral:rRNA from 1 species
GUGGGGAAUAUUGGACAAUGGGCGCAAGCCUGAUCCAGCCAUGCCGCGUGAGUGAUGAAGGCCUUAGGGUUGUAAAGCUCUUUCGCUGGGGAAGAUAAUGACGGUACCCAGAUAAGAAGCCCCGGCUAACUUCGUGCCAGCAGCCGCGGUAAUACGAAGGGGGCUAGCGUUGUUCGGAAUUACUGGGCGUAAAGCGCACGUAGGCGGACCUGUCAGUCAGAGGUGAAAUCCCGGAGCUUAACUUCGGAACUGCCUUUGAUACUGCAGGUCUUGAGGAUGGGAGAGGUGAGUGGAACUGCGAGUGUAGAGGUGAAAUUCGUAGAUAUUCGCAAGAACACCAGUGGCGAAGGCGGCUCACUGGCCCAUUACUGACGCUGAGGUGCGAAAGCGUGGGGAGCAAACAGGAUUAGAAACCCUAGUAGUCC